rnacentral:rRNA from 1 species
AGCGAACGCUGGCGGCGUGCCUAACACAUGCAAGUCGAACGUGAAAGGGAGCAAUCCUGAGUAAAGUGGCGUACGGGUGAGUAACGCGUAGGUAAUCUACCCCAGAGUCUGGAAUAACCUGCCGAAAGGCGGGCUAAUACUGGAUAGAGCGACGGAAUCCGUAAUUGGGUUUUCGGGUAAAGGGAGGAAGCAAUUCCCUUUGCUCUGGGAUGAGCCUGCGUCUCAUUAGCUAGUUGGUGAGGUAAUAGCUCACCAAGGCUUUGAUGGGUAGCUGGUCUGAGAGGAUGAUCAGCCACACUGGAACUGAAACACGGUCCAGACUCCUACGGGAGGCAG